GACGAACGCUGGCGGCGUGCUUAACACAUGCAAGUCGAACGGAAAGGCCCUGCUUUUGUGGGGUGCUCGAGUGGCGAACGGGUGAGUAACACGUGAGUAACCUGCCCUUGACUUUGGGAUAACUUCAGGAAACUGGGGCUAAUACCGGAUAGGAGCUCCUGCUGCAUGGUGGGGGUUGGUAAGUUUCGGCGGUUGGGGAUGGACUCGCGGCUUAUCAGCUUGUUGGUGGGGUAGUGGCUUACCAAGGCUUUGACGGGUAGCCGGCCUGAGAGGGUGACCGGCCACAUUGGGACUGAGAUACGGCCCAGACGCCUACGGGAGGCAGCAGUGGGGAAUAUUGCACAAUGGGCGGAAGCCUGAUGCAGCAACGCCGCGUGCGGGAUGACGGCCUUCGGGUUGUAAACCGCUGUCGCCUGUGACGAAGCGUGAGUGACGGUAAUGGGUAAAGAAGCACCGGCUAACUACGUG
rnacentral:rRNA from 1 species